GGGUCCGUAGCUCAGUCGGUAGAGCAGAAGCCUUUUAAGCUUUGUGUCCCGGGUUCGAGUCCCGGCGGACUCACCC
rnacentral:tRNA from 1 species